AGGGAGGUGUGUUCAGGUGAUUCUGGGCGUGCUGGUCUUACAGGGAGGUGUGUUCAGGUGCAUUCUGGGCGUGCUGGUCUUACAGGGAGGUAUGUUCAGGUGCAUUCUGGGUGUAUUGUUAUCUUGAAGCAGUGGGAAGUGAUGGCACCAU